rnacentral:rRNA from 1 species
GACGAACGCUGGCGGCGUGCUUAACACAUGCAAGUCGAACGGUAAGGCCCUUCGGGGUACACGAGUGGCGAACGGGUGAGUAACACGUGGGUGAUCUGCCCUGCACUUCGGGAUAAGCCUGGGAAACUGGGUCUAAUACCGGAUAGGACUCCUGGCUUCAUGGUUGGGGGUGCAAAGCUUUUGCGGUGUGGGAUGGGACCGCGGCCUAUCAGCUUGUUGGUGGGGUAAUGGCCUACCAAGGCGACGACGGGUAGCCGGCCUGAGAGGGUGACCGGUCACACUGGGACUGGGAUACGGCCCAGACUCCUACGGGAGGCAGCAGUGGGGAAUAUUGCACAAUGGGCGCAAGCCUGAUGCAGCGACGCCGCGUGAGGGAUGACGGCCUUCGGGUUGUAAACCUCUUUCAGCUAUGACGAAGCGCAAGUGACGGUAGUAGCAGAAGUAGGACCGGCCAACUACGUGCCAGCCGCCGCCGUAACAC